AGCGUUUGACAUGUCCGGACGAUUUCCAGAGAUGGAUCUCUUCCCUUCGGGGACUGGAACACAGGUGCUGCAUGGCUGUCGUCAGCUCGUGUCGUGAGAUGUUGGGUUAAGUCCCGCAACGAGCGCAACCCUCGCCUUUAGUUACCAUCAUUCAGUUGGGUACUCUAAAGGAACCGCCGGUGAUAAGCCGGAGGAAGGUGGGGAUGACGUCAAGUCCUCAUGGCCCUUACGCGCUGGGCUACACACGUGCUACAAUGGCAGGUACAGUGGGCAGCAAUCCCGCGAGGGUGAGCUAAUCUCCAAAACCUGUCUCAGUUCGGAUUGCACUCUGCAACUCGAGUGCAUGAAGGCGGAAUCGCUAGUAAUCGCGGAUCAGCAUGCCGCGGUGAAUACGUUCCCAGGCC
rnacentral:rRNA from 1 species